rnacentral:tRNA from 1 species
GGUUGUGCUUCAGUGGUAGAGCGCUUGCCUAGCAUGUAUGAGGCACUGGGUUCGAUUCUUAGCACCA